AAAAUCCGUUAAAUGUAUCCGGUUGCUAUAAAUAAUAGCGACGAGUGAUUCGAUAUGUUAAAAAAAGUUUUUUUUAUCACAUAGAAUGUCAUGUAGAGGUUAUGGUGUUCUAUACAAAAAUGACUGUUUGCUAAAACAGAUUUUUAAAAAAACAAGUCUUUUAAAAUUACUGAAAAGAACAUUGUGUGAUGAUGUUUCAACAAAAAAUGUAGAAAUAGACAAGAAAACAGAAAUAACUCCUAAGCCUACUGACAUUGUUGUGGAUAAAUCCUCUGAAAAGCCAUUUUAUCACAAACCAAGAAAAAUAGACUAUAACAUAAUCUACACGAAGAAUACCUCAAUAUCAGCAUCAAGAGCAAUCAGUGAUUACUUACUUACUAUAGAUGACUUGGCAGGUUUACGACAAACAAAAGUUCGAACAGCUUAUGAUUCAAGCGACUUACCUGCUGACCAGUGUUAUUUAAAGUUAGAUGUCGAAAAAAGAGCUUUAGAGCGAUGGGGUAGUAUGGAGGCUCUGGAACAAGAACUUUUUAGAAGAAAGGAAGCUAUGGAAGCAGGAGAAAGAUACAGAAAAGGUUUGAGUGCGUUAAUUGGGCAUUUAAAGAAAACUGUUAAAGAUCAAACAAAAUUAAAAGAUGACAAGCAGUUAUUUGGAACAAAAGCUCAAAGAGAAAGCUUGCUAAAAGGAUCUGGCAAAGUGGUUUUGUUUGCUGUUGCCUCGAAUUUGGUGGUAACAUCAAUUAAGUUUGGAGCAUAUAUUUAUACAGGAUCAGCAUCAAUGUUGUCUGAAGCUAUUCACUCGCUUGCUGAUGCUGCAAACCAGAUGCUUCUAUAUAUUGGAAUAUGGCACUCAAUCAAAAAACCGUCACCUGAUCAUCCUUAUGGUUGGGUUCGUUCACGUUAUAUCUAUUCACUUGUUAGUGGCUGUGGAAUCUUUUUUCUUGGUGCUGGAUUUACUGUUUAUCAUGGUUUCUCAGAAUUAAUGGCGCCUACAAUGUUAGAAUAUCUUAAUGUUGCAUAUUUUGUAGCAGCAUUAUCUCUUAUCAUUGAAAGCUCAUCCAUGGUACUUGCAUUUCAGCAGGUUCGAAAAAGUGCUCAAGAAACCGGUGUAACAUUUCGUGAAUACAUUUCUCGUGGCCGUGAUCCAAAUGCAGUAGCUGUGUUGCUAGAAGAUGGUGCUGCUGUUUUAGGUGUACUUAUAGCUACUGCUUCCAUUGGAUUAACUGUAUAUACUGGAAACCCUGUGUAUGAUGCUUGUGGAUCUAUUGCAAUUGGAGGUCUGCUGGGUGUUGUAGCUGCUUUUCUUAUACAACGAAAUGCUGAUUUUUUGAUGGGAAGAUCAAUCCAUCCUGAUCGGCUGAGACAAAUUAUAAAUAUUUUAGAAAAUGAUAUUAUGGUUAGAUCUAUACAUGAUGUCAAAGCAACAGAGAUGGGAGCCGACACUGUACGUUUUAAAGCAGAAUUGAAUUUUGAUGGAAGAGAAAUAACUCGAGUUCAUCUUAACCAACUUGAUAUGAAUUUAGUUUUGCAGAGUGUCAUGAAAAUAAAAACACCAGAAGAGCUAGAGCAAUUUCUUUUGGAACACGGAGAGCAGAUUAUUGAUGUUCUCGGGGCACAAGUUGAUCGAUUAGAGAGGAACAUUAAGAAAAACCAUCCGGAAGUUCGUCACGUCGACCUUGAAAUACUUUAAUAUAUGUUGCAACAUCUACAUUUUUAUCGUAUGGUUUAUUGCAAAAAUGUUUAUAUUAAACAUGACUUAACGUUAAUAAUCUAAACAAUUUGAGUUUGCUAAUUUACAUCUUAUCGAUAUGUUCUACAUAUUUCUACGAAGAAACUUUUACCGAUUGUUCUGAGAGAUUUUAUUUGGUUGUAGAUUUCCUUAAAAUAUUUUGUUAGACUGUAAAGUUUAGCUAUUUAAUUGUA
rnacentral:misc_RNA from 1 species